AUUGAACGCUGGCGGCAUGCCUUACACAUGCAAGUCGAACGGCAGCACGGGUGCUUGCACCUGGUGGCGAGUGGCGAACGGGUGAGUAGUACAUCGGAACAUGUCCUGUAGUGGGGGAUAGCCCGGCGAAAGCCGGAUUAAUACCGCAUACGAUCCACGGAUGAAAGCGGGGGACCUUCGGGCCUCGCGCUAUAGGGUUGGCCGAUGGCUGAUUAGCUAGUUGGUGGGGUAAAGGCCUACCAAGGCGACGAUCAGUAGCUGGUCUGAGAGGACGACCAGCCACACUGGGACUGAGACACGGCCCAGACUCCUACGGGAGGCAGCAGUGGGGAAUUUUGGACAAAGGGCGAAAGCCUGAUCCAGCAAUGCCGCGUGUGUGAAGAAGGCCUUCGGGUUGUAAAGCACUUUUGUCCGGAAAGAAAUCCUUGACUCUAAUACAGUCGGGGGAUGACGGUACCGGAAGAAUAAGCACCGGCUAACUACGUG
rnacentral:rRNA from 1 species